GACGAACGCUGGCGGCGUGCUUAACACAUGCAAGUCGAACGGAAAGGCCCUGCUUUUGUGGGGUGCUCGAGUGGCGAACGGGUGAGUAACACGUGAGUAACCUGCCCUUGACUUUGGGAUAACUUCAGGAAACUGGGGCUAAUACCGGAUAGGAGCUCCUGCUGCAUGGUGGGGGUUGGAAAGUUUCGGCGGUUGGGGAUGGACUCGCGGCUUAUCAGCUUGUUGGUGGGGUAGUGGCUUACCAAGGCUUUGACGGGUAGCCGGCCUGAGAGGGUGACCGGCCACAUGGGGACUGAGAGACGGCCCAGACGCCUACGGGAGGCAGCAGGGGGGAAUAUUGCACAAUGGGCGGAAGCCUGAUGCAGAAACGCCGCGUGCGGGAUGACGGCCUUCGGGUUGUAAACCGCUUUCGCCUGUGACGAAGCGUGAGUGACGGUAAUGGGUAAAGAAGCACCGGCUAACUACGUG
rnacentral:rRNA from 1 species